UACGUAGGGUGCAAGCGUUGUCCGGAAUUAUUGGGCGUAAAGAGCUCGUAGGCGGUCUGUCGCGUCUGCUGUGAAAACUCAGGGCUUAACCCUGAGCUUGCAGUGGGUACGGGCAGACUAGAGUGCGGUAGGGGAGACUGGAAUUCCUGGUGUAGCGGUGAAAUGCGUAGAUAUCAGGAGGAAUACCGAUGGCGAAGGCAGGUCUCUGGGCCAUAACUGACGCUGAGAAGCGAAAGCAUGGGGAGCGAACAGG
rnacentral:rRNA from 1 species